UGGGGAAUUUUGGACAAUGGGCGAAAGCCUGAUCCAGCAAUGCCGCGUGUGUGAAGAAGGCCUUCGGGUUGUAAGCACUUUUGUCCGGAAAGAAAUCCUUGGCUCUAAUACAGUCGGGGGAUGACGGUACCGGAAGAAUAAGCACCGGCUAACUACGUGCCAGCAGCCGCGGUAAUACGUAGGGUGCAAGCGUUAAUCGGAAUUACUGGGCGUAAAGCGUGCGCAGGCGGUUUGCUAAGACCGAUGUGAAAUCCCCGGGCUCAACCUGGGAACUGCAUUGGUGACUGGCAGGCUAGAGUAUGGCAGAGGGGGGUAAAUUCCACGUGUAGCAGUGAAAUGCGUAGAGAUGUGGAGGAAUACCGAUGGCGAAGGCAGCCCCCUGGGCCAAUACUGACGCUCAUGCACGAAAGCGUGGGGAGCAAACAGGAUUAGAUACCCUGGUAGUCCACGCCCUAAACGAUGUCAACU
rnacentral:rRNA from 1 species